rnacentral:misc_RNA from 1 species
GUUGGCGUGCAGACGUCCUCACGGUGAACAUUUUAAUGAAAAAUCAAAAGCCGAAAUCAACGCAUAAAAUACUCUAGUUGGAAUCCAAGACAAGCGCAUCAAAACGAAUUUCCAGCACAAUUGUCUCUCUUUGUGUUAUGUGUGUGUAGAGUGCAAUUGCAACUUUUCAUAGCGUGUGGCUGAUUUGUUUUUGUUCAAUUAUUUAAGCUUAAAGGACGAUUGAAGUGGGAGUUGAUGAAGCGCAGCUGAAAUAAGAACCUGUUGUUGUUAUUGUUGCCAGGAGUGGGGCACAAACAAAGCGAACCAAAAACACAGCGACAAAAAGCGACGGAAAAAUCGAUUGUGCUCAUUUUUGUUUUGGUUCGUGUUUAUAUUGAUGCUUUAGUGUGCGUGUGUGUGUGCUUGUGUGUGUUGCGCGAAUUGCAACAAAUAACAAAUCAAGACGAUAAACCGAUAACAGUGCUGCACAUGGCAUGACUCACACAAACAAGCAGGAAACAUGAAAAAUAAUCAAAAGUAUGCAAAAUUGCCCCAAGAUUUGGAUCUGAGCUUUAAUAGCGAUUUAGAUUUGCUGCCGGACACCGCAGCCGAUAUCGAUGCCGAUGAAUUCAAUUUGAGUGGUUCGCCACCUGCUGGUUUAGUACUUAACAACGACGACGACGGCGACGCUGGGAACGGCGACGACGGCGGCGACGACGACGAAGAAGACGACGACGAAAUUGUCAUUGCAGCGCAGGUUGUUGGGGGCGGCGACGGCAGCGGCAGAGGCGCCGGCAUUGGCAGCGGUGGAUUGCGUUUAGCCACACGUAAGCAGCGUAAGCAGCGCAAGCAGCAAUUGGAACAGUUGUACAACAAAAAGAAUAAGAUCUGCGGACUGGGCAGUGAUAGUAUUAUCGAGACGGGUCUAACCCUAACACCCGAAAUGCUGCUCUCUACCUCGGAGUCAUCGACGCACAGCACCUCUGAGGUAGCAGGACGUCUGCAGGUUGAUGUGCGCACCGGCUUGAAGUGGACGGAGGCAAAAUAUCGGGCCAAAAUUAUUGGUCACAAUGAGCUCAAUGUCAUCGAGGAGGAUCCCACAUGGAAGAAGUACAUUGAGCAGUUUAGGAAUCCUCUCAUUCUGCUGCUCCUUGGCUCUGCCCUCGUCUCGAUAAUUAUGAAACAGUUUGACGAUGCGGUCAGCAUAACCAUUGCCAUUCUGAUUGUGGUAACGGUCGCCUUCAUCCAGGAGUAUCGCUCCGAGAAGAGUCUCGAGGAGCUGAAGAAACUGGUGCCGCCAGAGUGUCAUUGUUUGCGGGAGGGACGCCUCGACACGUUCCUCGCCCGUGAAUUGGUGCCGGGAGAUGUCAUUUAUCUCAAUGUGGGCGAUCGUGUCCCCGCCGAUGUGCGUCUCUUCGAGGCCGUGGAUCUGUCAAUUGACGAGAGCAGCUUCACCGGCGAAACGGAGCCGGCACGCAAAAUCACCGAUGUCCUGCUGAACAAUACGAAUGUGAAGGAUCACAGCAAUAUGAAGAACAUUGCAUUCAUGGGCACCCUAGUCCGCUGCGGCAAUGGCAAGGGCAUCGUGGUCAGCACCGGCGAGAGGAGUGAAUUUGGCGAGGUCUUCAAGAUGAUGCAGGCCGAGGAGGCGCCCAAGACGCCGCUGCAAAAGUCAAUGGAUAUUUUGGGCGCACAGCUCAGUUUCUAUUCGUUUCUCAUUAUUGGCGUCAUCAUGCUCCUUGGCUGGCUGCAGGGCAAACCGCUCUCGGAGAUGUUCAACAUAAGCGUCUCGUUGGCGGUUGCCGCCAUACCCGAGGGUCUGCCCAUUGUGGUCACUGUCACCCUGGCCCUGGGCGUCAUGCGGAUGGCCAAACGCAACUCGAUUGUGAAGAAGUUGCCCACCGUGGAGACAUUGGGCUGUGUGAAUGUCAUCUGCUCGGACAAGACGGGCACCCUGACCAAGAACGAGAUGACGGCCACGAUAAUCAUCACCUCCGACGGCUAUAUGGCGGAUGUAACCGGCGCUGGAUAUAAUGAUCAGGGCGAGAUUCAUAUACGCCACUGCAACAAUGUGGAAAUGGCCAAAACGAAUAUCACGAAUCUGCUGGAGAUUGGCGCCGUCUGCAACAAUGCCUACAUCCAGAAUGGCACACUUCUUGGCCAGCCGACCGAGGGUGCUCUCGUUGCGGUUGCCAUGAAGAAUGGCAUGUAUGCCACAGCCGAGAAUUAUGUGCGCAUCCAGGAGUAUCCGUUCAGCUCCGAGCAAAAGAUGAUGGCCGUCAAGUGCAUACACAAGUACAACAACAACAAGGAGGAGAUCUUCUUUGCGAAGGGCGCCUUGGAAACGCUGCUGCCCCAAUGCACCAAAUAUCAAUUUGGCAAUCAGACGGUGCCGCUCACCAAACAGAACGAGGCCGAAUUCCUUGCCGAGGCCUAUGAAAUUGGACGCAAGGGUUUGCGUGUCCUGGCCCUGGCCAAGGGCAGAUCCAUGCAGGAUUUGAUCUAUUGCGGCCUGGCUGGCAUCACGGAUCCGCCUCGACCCCUUGUUAGGGAGUCUAUUGAGAUGCUGAUGCAGAGUGGAGUCCGUGUCAAGAUGGUCACCGGUGAUGCCCAAGAAACGGCAAUGGCUAUCGCAAACCUAAUUGGCAUUGAUACCAUACAUCACCAGACAUUGUCUGGCCAGGAAAUCGAUCAAUUGAACGAGCACCAACUGGACAAGGUGGCCAACAAUGUGAGCGUUUUCUAUCGCGUCUCGCCGCGCCACAAGCUGGAGAUUGUAAAGUCACUGCAACGCACUGGCAACAUUGUGGGCAUGACCGGCGACGGGGUCAACGAUGGUGUGGCACUCAAGAAAGCGGACAUUGGCAUUGCGAUGGGCAAGAAUGGCACCGAUGUGUGCAAGGAGGCGGCUGACAUGAUAUUGGUCAACGAUGAUUUUCACACCAUUAUCGCUGCCAUUGAGGAGGGCAAAGGCAUCUUCUAUAACAUUAGGAACUUUGUGCGCUUUCAGUUGAGCACCUCGAUUGCGGCACUUGCGCUGAUUGCAUUGGCCACAUUGAUGGACAUUGCCAAUCCGUUGAAUGCCAUGCAGAUAUUGUGGAUCAACAUUAUAAUGGAUGGGCCGCCGGCACAGUCGCUGGGCGUCGAGCCCGUCGAUCACGAUGUGCUCAAGCAGAAGCCGCGCAACGUGAAGCAACCAAUGAUAACCAAGUCGGUGAUUGUCAAUGUACUGCUCAGUGCCAGCAUCAUUGUGCUGGGCACACUGUGGGUCUUUCAACGUGAAAUGGCCGACGGGACGCUGGGCAAGACGAAGCGAGAUACGACCAUGACAUUCACAUGCUUUGUGUUCUUUGACAUGUUCAAUGCGCUCUCGUGCCGAUCGCAGACGAAGAGCGUCUUUACCAUUGGUCUGACCACCAAUCGCAUGUUCCUGCUGGCUGUCGCAUUCUCGAUCAUUGGCCAAAUGCUAGUCGUUUAUUUUCCACCUUUGCAGAUGGUAUUCCAAACGGAGGCGCUCACCAUCUACGACAUACUCUUUCUGGUCACGCUCACCUCCUCUGUGCUGGUCGUCUCCGAGAUCAAGAAGUGGUUCGAGCGAUCGCUGGAGCGCAAAAUGUACAGCACCCGGUCCGAGUUGGAUUUCGUAUGACAAAACGCAAGCGCUAGAGAUGUGUUGCACCCAAAAGCCGAGUAAAUUAAAUAAAAACAAACAACAAAAAAAUCACAAAAAAAUAGCAAAACUAUGCAAAAACCAAGUGAGGAGCGUGGCAGCGUAAACGUGGGAGUGAAAAUGAGCGACAAAUCAGCGAAAAUGUGUGUUUAAUUUUACAUUUGACAUUGUCAGCGCCAAAAAAAAUAGCCAAACAACAAAUCAACAAACAAAUAUCUCUUAUCCAUAUGGAAAUUCCAAUUCGUCAAAAAUACAUAAAAAAUAUAUAUUUAUGUGAUCCAGCAAAUUCCAAUUGAUUAUGCCCUAAUCAUUUAGUAGCAAAGUCAGCAACAGCAUCCAACAAUAACCCAGAGGCAGCUGCAUUAAAUGAAAUUAUUUCCGACAAAAUGUAAAAUGAAAUGUGCAACAAGAGUAGCAGGGAGAACGCAAAGCGUAGCAAAUGGUUUUUUAGUAAUUUUGUUUGUUAAUUUAUUCGGUAUCAAAGAUUUGUGUACAACAACAAAUAAGCAAUGCUCUAGCGCGUUAGCUGAACAAAAAAAUUAAAACAAAAACAAAACAACAAUU